ACCAGACUGAUCCUCGAUACAGUUGGGAAUCGUCUUUGGCUGAUAUGGAGAAGAGCUAAGAUGACGGACAAGCAAGUAUGGGGGAUGCCCAUCCUUAUAUAGCGAAGCGUGAGACGAAAUGACGUUGAGUCAACUUAGGUUAGGGUUUACGUGAGGAGGAGUCUAUGGCGAAAAAGGACGGCAAGUUGGGAAGCAAAACCAGGGUAACGUAG